UACGUAGGUGGCAAGCGUUAUCCGGAAUUAUUGGGCGUAAAGCGCGCGCAGGUGGUUUCUUAAGUCUGAUGUGAAAGCCCACGGCUCAACCGUGGAGGGUCAUUGGAAACUGGGAGACUUGAGUGCAGAAGAGGAAAGUGGAAUUCCAUGUGUAGCGGUGAAAUGCGUAGAUAUAUGGAGGAACACCGGUGGCGAAAGCGGCUCUCUGGACUGUCACUGACACUGAGGCUCGAAAGCGUGGGUAGCAAACAGG
rnacentral:rRNA from 1 species